ACACUGGUCUGCGCACGGGAGAUCAGUUGUCAAGCUGCUCUGAUUUGGAGAUAGCUGGUGCUCUAUCGUGAUGACAGGGCCGUUCUAGUCUUGUAGAUGGCCGUCACUGAGCAAGGUGGAGGCCGUGAGAGGUCCGGUGUGCUCCACAUAUGUGUUUUGGUUCUUUUCCGUUGCUCUCGGGUGAGCAGCUUUGUUUUGAUUCUACCAAUUUCAGGUACAAGACACCAUUGUAAAUAUAUAGUUCUCGUAAUUUUACUAGGCCUUCAUUGUCUCUUCAUCGGUAAAUUCACCAGAUAAUUUACUGCUAUUACACUUCUCAGUUUUAGAUUCAUGUAGCUGAAGUACUAAAUGAGCAUUGGUCACCAUAUUAUUUUUGCAAGUUAGGCCUCUCUUUCUCUGAACAUUGUUCUACCAUGGUCAUGGUAUACAUUGUAAAUUUGCUUCUCUACAAUCUUCCAUUCUUUGCUUCCCAUUUAGUAAAUUUAACAUUUCACUGAGCUGUAUGGGUGACCACCAAUAUAUUUUCAUGAACCUUGCUUUCCUGUUACAUAUAAUUUAACAUUUCGACGUGGCAUUAUGCUCUAAUUUCUCAUAUACUCUACUUGCCUAUACUUAAAUUUUUGUUACAUAUAAUUCUAAAGGAAAUAGUUACAAGAGAUAUUCUAAAGGAAAUAGUUACGAGAGAUAGGAGUAUGGUGAGUAUGUCAAUGCAUAAUUUGUUUAUACGUCCUGUUUUUGGCUCAGGGAUAAUUCCAAUUGUUUACUGCCAUUCUCAUUAUGAUGAUUUCAGGUGAUAAGGACAUCUGGGCAAAUAGUAGGCCAGGUCUGCUCAGAUUCAUUUGGGAACAGCAAAUAGGCGUCUGCAUCAACUUCAAUUUGAUGACCAGCUUCCAGUAAUCUGGAGAUUCUGAUGCCACAGCACAAUUGGCAUCAGGUCCAGAAGACUAGUAGAAGAAAUGCUCCAGACAUGAUGAGGCUGCACCGGUGAUGCUGUUUGCACGGCCAUCUGAGAAGCCCAACUAAAAUGAGAAAGAUGACUAAACACAUGCAGCGAAACAUGCCUCAGUUUACGUCAUCCGAUUUGUUCUUAACACAUCAAUGAAGUACAAUGGCUUUGGUGGUCUUUCAUCCUGAUGUUUGGUGUCAACAUAAAUACAAAGACCCAGCUACUAUCUUAUUUGUAGUUGUUUUGUUUUGUUUGGUUUUGACAGUGUGUUCUAUGAGAAAAAAACUCAGAUUAGGAUGCCAUGCUAAACCUCAUUUUGUGAAUUUGUUAUGUCCUACUCUCUUUUUUCUUCCAUUGUGAUAACCCACUGUACAAAGAUCUGGUACAUAUCUGAAGGCAUUGCCGUAAUUGUGGUAAUAUUGGAUUAGGAACCCUUUUUUGUUAA